UACGGAGGGCGCAAGCGCUGUUCGGAAUUACUGGGCGUAAAGCGCGUGUAGGCGGCCAGGUAAGUCGGAUGUGAAAUCCCGGGGCCCAACCCCGGAACUGCACUCGAUACUGCCUGGCUGGAGUCCCGGAGAGGAUGGCGGAAUUUCCGGUGUAGAGGUGAAAUUCGUAGAUAUCGGAAGGAACACCAGUGGCGAAGGCGGCCAUCUGGACGGUGACUGACGCUGAGACGCGAAAGCGUGGGGAGCAAACAGG
rnacentral:rRNA from 1 species